rnacentral:rRNA from 1 species
CGCGUAUACGUAGGUGCAAGCGUCUCCGGAAUUAUUGGCUUAAAGCGCGCGCUGGCGGUUUUUAAGUCUGAUGAAAAGCCCCCGGCUCAACCGGGGAGGGUCAUUGGAAACUGGGGAACUUGAGUGCAGAAGAGGAGAGUGGAAUUCCACGUGUAGCGGUGAAAUGCGUAGAGAUGUGGAGGAACACCAGUGGCGAAGGCGACUCUCUGGUCUGUAACUGACGCUGAGGCGUGAAAGCGUGGGGAGCGAACAGGAUUAGAUACCCUGGUAGUCCACGCCGUAAACGAUGAGUGCUAAGUGUUAGAGGGUUUCCGCCUUUUAGUGGUGCAGCAACCGCCUCAAGCACUCCGCCAGGGGAGUACGGUCGCAAGAAUCAAGUCAAAGGAAUGGACGGGGGCCCGCACCAAGCUGUCGAGC